UUUUUCAUUAUUCCAGUCUUGCUGCUUGUUUUAUAACUGAAAAAACCUCAAUCAAACCAAGAAACCUGUUCCUGUGUAAAAAGCUGGGUGUCAGAAAUCCAGAUCUGUUCCAAAACCAAUUAAUGAGAAAAAUCCAGUUGAUGGGGUCGAGGUGGCUCAAAGGAAGAGGCUGCUGCUCAGGAAGACCCUGGCUCAGGAGUUUUUGGAGGCUGCAGAAGUACAUCAGGCUGGUGGCAAUGUCUCCUUGGGCCAGGCUCCUCUCCAGCACCUCCAGGGUCAGCCUGCUGCUGCUGCUGGGCUCUGUGCUCCUCUCCUGCUCCAGCCUGGGACAGAGAGUGCCUGAGUUUGCCCUUACAAAAACAGAAGAGAGCGACAUAAAAGAUGACAGUGGGAAGGAGCUCGGGACAGAGGAUGACGCUGAUCCUGAAGACCUGGAAGUGUUUUACCCCAC